UACGGGGGGGGCAAGCGUUGUUCGGAAUUACUGGGCGUAAAGGGCGCGUAGGCGGCUUAACAAGUCACUUGUGAAAUCUCCGGGCUUAACUCGGAACGGCCAAGUGAAACUGUCAAGCUAGAGUGCAGAAGGGGCAAUCGGAAUUCUUGGUGUAGCGGUGAAAUGCGUAGAUAUCAUGAGGAAUACCAGAGGCGAAGGCGGCUACCUGGACAAUUGCUGACGCUCAGGCACGAAAGCGUGGGGAGCAAAAGGG
rnacentral:rRNA from 1 species